GCCGGCGUGGCAGAAUCUGGCAAAUGCGCUAGGGUUAGCUCAAGAUCUGAUAAGGCUUGAGAUGACGACGAUCCUUGAGAGCUAGAGCGCCGUGAGUGAUAGUCGCGGAUGCGCGCGCAGGUUCAAAUCCUGCCGCCGGCG
rnacentral:tRNA from 1 species